rnacentral:rRNA from 1 species
UACGUAGGGGGCAAGCGUUACCCGGAUUUACUGGGUGUAAAGGGAGCGUAGACGGCAUAGCAAGUCUGAAGUGAAAGCCCAAGGCUCAACCAUGGGACUGCUUUGGAAACUGUUAAGCUAGAGUGCUGGAGAGGUAAGCGGAAUUCCUAGUGUAGCGGUGAAAUGCGUAGAUAUUAGGAAGAACACCAGUGGCGAAGGCGGCUUACUGGACAGUAACUGACGUUGAGGCUCGAAAGCGUGGGGAGCAAACAGG